rnacentral:tRNA from 2 species
AGGCGCGUAGCUCAGCUGGUUAGAGCACCACCUUGACAUGGUGGGGGUCGGCGGUUCGAUUCCGUUCGCGCCUACCA